rnacentral:lncRNA from 1 species
ACAAAUAACAUAUUAUUGCCAAUAGCAUCAUUAUGAUCCUUUUUAUAUGACAUAUUUCUUUUGUCCUAAAACAUUUUUUUCUUAUAACUCAAAAUAUUCCAGUUAAGGUUCUAUAUAUCUGCACCUGGAGUUUGGGUCCCUAUAUAUAUGUACCAGAUAUCCAGACUAAAAGAGGUUUUAAGAAUAAAAUUUGGGGCCAAUCUUUUGCAAAUU